CCUCUUGUGCGCGUGUUUGGGUUUCGAGUGAACAGGUCGCUUAGUUCUGGACAGUCGUAAUAUCCAUGCAUGAUUUUGAACGUCUCGAUCAAGUCGCCACGUUCCCGCCUUUUUUGCAGUGUUGUCAAGCCCAGCUUGACUAAUCUUUCCUCGUACGAAAGUGACUUUAGCUGUGCGGGAAUUUUGGUAAAUCUACGCUGUACUCGCUCGAUCAUGUCAAUAUCUUUUUUGAAGUAUGGAUUCCAUAUCUGAAAGCCAUAUUCCAGAAUUGGUCUUAUAUAGGUCUUGUAUAUCUUUAGCAUUGUUUCGGUGGUGAAAAUACGAAAAGCUCUUCUGAUUAUGUAGAUUAUGGAGUUAGCCUUUUUUACCAUUUGUGAAAUAUGGGGUUCCCACUUGAGAUCGUCAGACAUAAUGACUCCUAGGUCUUGUUGGGACUGUGCAUUUUGAUUCGUUGAGGUUUAUAAGCCAGUUUAGGCACCAGUCCCUAAUUCGGUUCAGAUCUGACUGUAGUUUCCUAUGGUCUAUCAUAGGGUUUACAAACAGCUUGGAGUCAUC